AUGGCUGAAGAAACAGUAUCUGCUAAAGAUAGGGAUCCAUAUACUGCUUUUACAAACCGUGUAAAGGAGCUUAACUAUGGAAACUCUUAUUUCUUCUGGUUUUCCUUACUUAAAGAAUGGCAUGUGCAAUGCAAUUUUGCAGAUACCAGACCGAAGCUGGUGGCAGGAUCUGCUGAAGGGUAUUCUGAACAUGUUGAGGGAAGGCUUAGGGAGGCUAGGAUGAAUCACCCAAAGGGGAUAACGGUUGAUAACCGAGGAAAUAUCUAUGUUGCAGAUAUAAUGAAAAUGACAAUUAGGAAAUUUAGUGAUUCAAGCAAGAUCACAACAAUUGCUGGAGGAAAAUGGAGCCGGGGAGGGGGCCAUAUUGAUGAUCCAAGUGAAGAAGCUAAAUUUCCUAAUGAGUUGGAUGUGGUUUAUGUUGGAAGUAGUUGUUCCCUACUUGUCAUAGACAGGGGGAACCAAGCCAUCAGGUAGAUCCAACUACACUUUGAUGAUUGUGCUUAUCAAUGCGAAAAUGGAUUUACACUUGGAAUUGCAAUGCUUGUUGGGGCUGCCUUCUUUGGCUAUAUGCUUGCAUUAUUACAACGUAGACUCGGUACAAUUGUAGCAUCUCAAGAUGUUGAGGGUGCAGCAAUGUCUGGCAUUUCACCAAGUCCAUAUCAAAAGUUCUUGAAGUCUGUUAGGCCUCCUUCAAUUCCAUCAUAUCUUGGAAAAGACUAUAUUUUCACUUCUCUAUUGCAUCUUUCUGACAAUCUUAAUGUUACAAACAUUUUUCUACAUUACCAAUUGUGCAUUGAUGCUGAUACACUUUUGAAGAUUAAUAAUUAAUAAUAUUUCAUAUUUUUAAA